GAACGAGGCUCCCACGGUUUUCAGCUGAACACACAUCCUUGCUUAGCUCCUUCUCUUGCCUGCUUCUACUUCCUUCCUUCCACUUUUCCUAAGAGCACUCCCUUAAUAAAUUAUUUUCAUAAGAAUCUUUUUUUUAAGUUCUGCUUUUAUGGAACUCAAGCCAAGAUGGUUGGUACUGGAAGGGGACCUAGGAAGCAGAAUCUAAGCCUCAUUCUCAGCCUUGGCUCCUCCAGCUUCCUCUGACUUCAAAGGAAACUCUGCAUGAAGAGAGAGGGCACACAAUAGAAGAAUUGGUCCGAUUAUCCCUCUCUGUUUGGAAAUGGAACCAGCUACUAUGUCGAGAGGAUACUCAAGCAGCUCUUUGGAAAGGUCGACGUGGGAAAGAACUGAGCUAUCUGCUAACAGUUGAAGAAGAACUGAGGCAUCCAGCUAACAACUAUGAGUGAAAAAUCUUGGAAGCAUAUCUUCGAGCCCCAGUCAAGCAUUUAGGAGAUGACUGUAGCUCCUGCUGACAUCUGAUGACAACCUCCUAAGAGACAUAGUUCUCCUAAGAGAACCACCCAGCUAAGUCCUGAAUUUCUGGCCCUCAUAGUCUAUGAGAUAAUAAAUGUUUACUGUUUUAAGCCACUAA